CUUCCUGAAAGCAAAAACAUAAUUAAGUUUCUAAGCUGACAAAUAAUUCUUGAGAUUUAUUUAUUUGUUCCCUGAAAAAAUUCCGAACCAGUUUCUCGGCGGUUUUUUUUCACUCUCACGAAAGGCUACGAAACUUGGGCAACCACGACUACUUUGCUCGUUCAUCUUGUAGUGAUUUUGCUUAGUGUCCCCUGCCAGUGGCCUAACCUGUGCAGAAACUGCCCUAGCUGUAAUUAAUUUCGGGCACAACAGUGUUAAUAUUUAGCUGACCUUUUGGUGAAUUUACUUUAAGUGACUGAAACUUCAUGUCCUGUAUUUAUAUUCUACUGCUAGUAAUCUGUACACAUCUGUAAUCGCUUAAUGGAGCUUGCACACUAAGUGCUUGGGAAGAUGAAGGGGCUGCUUAAAAUGCUGUUCCCACAGCACACAGAGGAGCCCAUCUGCCUGAGUGACAUCUGGCCUGGAGCGUUGUUGUAACUCUUUCCUCCCACCCCACCCAUGAUUUGGGUUCUAGAAGCUCCCAGCCACUGGCUGUGACUGCUGGCAAGAAGCUUAUUGGGCUGCAGCUCUGCCUUUGUCCCAUUGCCAGCCUGGGAAACCUUCAUCCUGGGAACUGCCCCUCUGCCUGCCCCCAGUGCCAUCCCUGCCUGGGGGGACCUUUGAUAUGACUGACAGAGCACUGCCAGGGAGCCCUCAAAGGCAGCCCCUUGCCUGGCCUUCUCUGCAGGCUGGGAGAUGGCUUUCAAAGAAGCUCAGCUGAUCCCAGCAUUAUUUAUGCAAAAUAGGAGAUACCUCCAUGUAACUGCUCACAGAUGUAAGGGAUUUGCAAGUCGGGUGUAAAAUUUUGCUGUGUCACAGGUUCUUAGCUGCAAAAUGGCAACAAUAACAUUUCCUCUUCCUCUCAUUUGCUUGCCAAUGCUGUUUAGUGCAUAAGAGCUGGGUCCUGUAGUGGUUACUGGUUGCCUGGCACGUGCACUGGAAUUCCCAGUCCUGUGUUAAGUUCCUGCACUGGCUCUGUGCCACUGGAGAGCUGGCAGUGUUGGAAUGGGAAGAUCAAGGAAAUGCCAGCGAGGAGCACGUCUUAAAGGUGUCAUAAGGGCAUGUUAGGGACUGGCACCUCUCUUAGACAUGGAGGCACAUAAAGUAGGGUAUUUACUCCAGAGAAAACGAGUUCACUCAAAGGUCUCCUUUCAAAUACUGUUAAAGACAGCAGGUCUCCCUAAUGGCUCCUCACUCAGCUAGAAAAGUCCCGCAGGAAGAAGUUCAAGCUUGUGUCAUCUGCAGCCCAAAAAGGGCUCAGAUUCCUGCUGACAGCCUGUCACAGUGACUGGCUCUCCCUUCAUCUCUCACUGAAGCUGAGGCAGUGUGGGAGCAAGGGCAGGCUCCUGGAAGGCGUGGGCACUGUAUCAGAUUGGAUUAAUAUGGAACCUACAUUAACCCCCUUCCCCCACACCUCUAUCUGCCUGAUACCUGGGAAACUUUGUGACAUCACCCCCACCAAAAAAAAAACACAGCAGAAAACACGAGGUUCUCUUUGGAGAAGUCACCAGGGAAUCCCAGGUUCUGACCCAAGUUCCAAGGCCAUCUUUUACAGUUUACCCAGUGACAGCACUGUGUAGAACAGUCCUGGAAGCAGGGACCUGAGACCACAAAAGCCACUGCAGGCAAGUGCCAGCAAUCACUAACAUCUAAUUCAGGCAAAAAGAGCCACCACGCAGCUUCCCAAGCUAAUGCAAAACAAGCUGGGUCCAAGUAGGUCACCUACAGGGCAGUAGGAGGGGGAUGUUUAGAGCACUGUCAGGUUGAGGAAUGCCUUGUACCAAAUUUCCCAUUUCCUCAGGGAAUUAGAACUACUGCAAAGAAAAAAACCAAGUGGCAGUACCAGUGCUGGCUGCUUGAAAGAUGCUUCUAAACACAAGGGAAUUCUUUAACCAAAUCUGCCUGAAGGAUGCUGGGGAGCCCAGUUUAUUAGUCCUGUCCUUUGUGGGUCACCUGGUAACAUGUGAACUCCUGAAACACACAUUUAUACUGCUCCUGACAUACAGACUUUCAGGCUAAGCUGGCAUUUGGACAAUGUUUUAAGCAUCUCAUUAUUUCCAAUUAUGGGCCCUUAUUUAUUUUCUGACUCUGUACAGAAGCUCGGGGUUGGUGGUGCAGUUUGUCACAAUGUCACAGCUAGGUCAGAAGCUCAGCAGAGACCUUCAGGCACUGCAACAAUAUAAAAUGGUAAAUAAGAAUUUUCAGCUCAAAAUUAUUAGGAAAGGGAACAAGUAGGGAAAAGCUUACAAAACUUGCUUCUCUGCCACCUGGGAGUUUCUGAGCUAUGAAUCACUAGGUAAUUCAGGAACAUGUUCAGGCUGAAAGUACUCUGGAGCUUGCACAAGGCCACUGUUCCAGGUGCCUAACACCUUACAUUCCAAAGCCCAGGGAGCAAUUGUAGCUGGACCAUGACCAAAUGCUUUACACAGGUCAGGCAACCCAGCCAGGCUAGUUUUGGGUUAGUUUUGGGUUAGUUUUCUUUUUGCUUACACACACUUACUUACACUGUAAUUUAGUGUUUUCAACAAAUAGGAGAAUAACUGAAUAUAAAUAAACCAGCUUAAAAGCUAAACAAUCAAAUAAAGAUUAAAAAAUUUAUUCAAGUACCACUUUGGCCUCUUUAAAUACCAUGUCCGUAGGACAGCAACAUAGAAAUGGGGUUAUAGUGCCUUGCCUUUUCAUAAAAGAUCUGAGCAAGAGUCCAACAAAAGAAUACUGCUUUUAUACCUAAUCAACUGUAAUGAAAGAAUAUGAAACACUGUCAUGUGCUUAUUAGGGGAAAUUAUCAGAUAUUCUUUUAUAUGAUGAACUAACACACAGCGCUGAUAAUUCUGUAGUGCACACUAAAUUACAAUUAAAGGCCUUUCUGCUCCACCAAAAUCUCAUUUAUAAUCUCUAUGGAAAUACUCUUCCUGCAGUUAUUUCAUUUAUGCUUCUUUUAUCUAAUUACUAUAAUAUUGGUUCUGAAUCAUAUUUUCUUAAUGUACCCUUAUUCAAUUAUAAAGUUAUUUUCAAGUAUAGUUACUUUAUAAUGCCAAGUAUAUCGCUCUGCAGCCUUUGUCUUUCACCACACUGUUUAACUGGCAAUGUUUUCUGAAGGUCUCUCUCCAUUUCAAAAUCAGCUUUUUUUCUGAAAAGCACAAUACAUCCAAUUACCUUUUUUCUCAUCAUUUUCAAGACAGAAAUGAAUAGUCUGAUUAUUGCAACCUUGCAAUCAUGCUUCUCUCUCCCUCCUUUGUUUUUUGUAGGCACUAAUGCCAAGGGCUCAGCAGAAACCUCCCAGGGAAGAGCAGCAUUCUGGGCUAUACAAUGUUCUGCUCCUGCCCCCACAGCCACGUAAAUUUUCUCCCCUUAUGAAUUCCUUCCUAUCCGUGUUUCUCUUCAUCUUCCCUCUCUUCUCUGCUGCUUAUUCAUUUAUUUUCAUCUCCCGUUUUAAUCUUCUCAGUCCUUCAAGUAUGCUGCCUGUGCCCUCCAAAGGAGUGGUUCACACACACAGCAGAUCCUGCAGUUUAUUAAAAUCAACAGGGCCUGUUCCCGAGGCUGAAUUUUGCUGGCAUCUGAGUGCCCUUGACUCACACUGGGAAUUCAGGGUGCCCAUGACUGAGUCCAGUAUGAACUUGUUACAAUGUCAUUAAUGGCUCAAGUGCCCUGAGAAUACUUCAGGAGCCAAGUCUGGUGCCCGUGCAGAAAAAGAAAUGCUUUGAUCACACAUUCACUACAGGCCUCUGGCUCUGGAUGGCUGAUGCAGAACCAGAAAGAGCAGCUUGCCUGAAAUGGCACAGCACGUUUCAGAAUAAGAACAGGAGCCUGGCAGUGCCAGGGAGGGAAUGGGACCCUGGCUCCCUGUGGCAGAACUGGCCAGGCUGAAGCAGAGGAGGUGAACUGUUCCCCAGAAAUGGGGACUGCUCCAGAUCCUGCACUGAAAGCCCAGUCCAGGAAAGGAGGGUUCCCUGUGUUACAGUGCAAUUACAGCUUUGUUGGCUUUCAUGCCUUUGUAAAUACUGAGCAUAACGAUAACCCUCUACACUUUUCUUGAAGGGUUCAAAUGCUUAAUUCACCUUCUUACUUCACUGUACUCUGGAAAAGACUGAAACACAUCACAACUGGCAGGGCACCUCCCCUGUCUCUUCCUUUUUCUUCUGACAGAGACCCGAACACACCAAUUUGAGGAUGAAGAGAAAAGGACCUUGACUGUGAUCCUAUUUGACGUGUCAUACCACAUUACGACUCACGAGGCAGAGGAUUUAAUGGGUGUGAUUGUCCCACUGAGCAGCUCUGAAAUGGCUGUAUAAUAUAAACCAGACUACUUUCCUCCUGUAUAACACCCCCCGGCCACACCCACGGUAAGUUCUCACCUGUCCUUCCCGGUUUCCCGUUUGAACAGGUCAUCAAACUGGAGCAUCUUGUGGCGAGAAAUCAUGUACACUUUUAACCGUGGCAGUAUCUGGUUCAUCAGCUGCAGGUUGUUGUACACCAGGCCCUUGCCGUCCCUGCGCAUGUAGCUGCUCGGCCCCCAGAAGAUGAACACGGCGCCGUGGCUCAUGUUCAAGAGUUCGUGGCGGUUCCGCAGGAUCCUCUGGAUGCUGGAGUGGGCGAUGACCCGCAGGCUCGUUUUGUUCCCGACGUCUCUGCCGUAGCCCCGGGUGGGCGCGUCGUUCAUCCGGAUCACGCACUCGGCCUCGUCGAUCCUGUCGCCCUGUUUGCCGCCCAGGAGGUGCCCGGAGCUGGUCACCAAGGCACAGCUCUUGCAGUGCAUCUUUAACGGCUGCAGAGACACACGGAGCUCAGGAUUAGCUGCAGGCAUCUUCCUUUUCACUGCAUUGCUGUAUUUUAUGCAGAAAUGGCACAUUUUACAGCAAAAGUCGUAAGGGAAUUUACAUAAAUCACUCCCAGCACUCUUCCCAACUAGCUGGGGAUGCGUUACCUGGAUGUUUUGUAGAUGGGGAAAAUGUGGUAUAGGUGUAUUAGCCUUUAACAUUCCUCUGUGGAGUUGGGCCCAUUGUGUAAAUCCUCCUUUCCACUGUCUACACAGAAAUGACAACAGCUUCUAUACUGCUCCCAGCUGCUUAGGACUGCACUUCUUCCACCUGCCAUAAACAAGCUACAAUUGGAGUAUUUUUUAUUCUUCCUCUUCCACUUUUUUUCAGGAAAUAAUAAACCCUAAGUCCUCCUAA